UACGUAGGGACCAAGCGUUGUUCGAAUUUACUGGGCGUAAAGGGCGCGUAGGCGGCGCGGUAAGUCACUUGUGAAAUCUCUGAGCUUAACUCAGAACGGCCAAGUGAUACUGCAGUGCUAGAGUGUGGAAGGGGCAAUCGGAAUUCUUGGUGUAGCGGUGAAAUGCGUAGAUAUCAAGAGGAACACCUGAGGUGAAGACGGGUUGCUGGGCCAACACUGACGCUGAUGCGCGAAAGCCAGGGGAGCAAACGGG
rnacentral:rRNA from 1 species